rnacentral:piRNA from 1 species
UGCACCAAUGUGGGAUUUUUGCAGAAUGA